ensembl:snoRNA
UUUCCCAUUGAAUGCCACAUUUUCUCCUAAUAGAAUCUAGUGGCUAUGCCUGUGGGAUAGAUGAAAGGUGCCAUGAUCGGAGGAGGGAGGGUCUUUCAAUGUCCUCCCUUUACAUGAAAUGGCUGGACAAAAAUAG